AAUCAACGCUGGCGGCGUGCCUAACACAUGCAAGUCGAACGAGAAAGGCGGGGGCAACCCUGCAAGUAAAGUGGCAGACGGGUGAGUAACACGUGAACAAUCUACCCUCGAGUGGGGAAUAACGCCGCGAAAGCGGCGCUAAUACCGCAUAACAUCCCUCGGCCGCAUGGCUGGGGGAUCAAAAGCGCAAGUUGCUUGAGGAGGAGUUCGCGCCUGAUUAGCUAGUUGGUGAGGUAACGGCCCACCAAGGCGACGAUCAGUAGCCGGCCUGAGAGGGCGAACGGCCACACUGGAACUGAGACACGGUCCAGACUCCUACGGGAGGCAG
rnacentral:rRNA from 1 species